GUCCUAGCCGUAAACGUUGGACACUAGGUGUGGGCGGACAUCAACCCCGUCUGUGCCGUAGCUAACGCAUUAAGUGUCCCGCCUGGGGAGUACGGCCGCAAGGCUAAAACUCAAGGAAUUGACGGGGGCCCGCACAAGCGGCGGAGCGUGUGGCUUAAUUCGAAGCAACGCGAAGAACCUUACCUGGACUUGACAUGCGGGGUGAAACCGUGGAAACACGGUGCUCUUAGGAGCCCGCACAGGUGGUGCAUGGCUGUCGU
rnacentral:rRNA from 1 species